rnacentral:rRNA from 1 species
UACGGAGGAUGCGAGCGUUAUCCGGAUUUAUUGGGUUUAAAGGCUGCGUAGGCGGACUGUCAAGUCAGCGGUAAAAUUGAGAGGCUCAACCUCUUCCCGCCGUUGAAACUGGUGGUCUUGAGUGGAUGAGAAGUACGCGGAAUGCGUGGUGUAGCGGUGAAAUGCAUAGAUAUCACGCAGAACUCCGAUUGCGAAGGCAGCGUACCGGCAUCCAACUGACGCUGAGGCACGAAAGCGUGGGGAUCAAACAGG